rnacentral:lncRNA from 10 species
GUUAUUUGACUGGAGUGAGGUCUCAUGUCUGCUUAUGCGGUGGCUCGCUGCUCAGAACAGGAUGGCAGAGAUGAGCACCACCAUCAAAAACUCAAGGACCAGUGCUGUGGGUCCAGUCAUCUGUUUCAUGGAAUUCACCAGUCUGGUAUCUUCAAAAUCCAGAAGGAUGAUGGCAGAUGGCAGGAAGGAACCAUUGGAGAUACUCAUUACUCUUUGAAGGCUUACAGUGGAAUGAAUUCAAAUACGACUUAUUUGAGGAAUUGAAGUUGACUUUAUGGAGCUGAUAAGAAUCUUCUUGGAGAAAAAAAGACUGGGUAUAUUUUCAAUAUGCUUUCCUUUUAAGGUCCCUCACCUGUGGAAAGUAAAGAAUGUCACUUUCUGACAGGCUCAGGAACCUCAAGUUAUGUAGGGAUCUCAAGAAGAUGGGGGAAUUCACCCAGUUCAUACAGGUGAAAUUGCUGUUGCAAAGAUUAUGAAUAUGAGAGAAGUCCAGCAUGGCUGACUUCAUCUCGUGUCUGGCCUCAGGCUGGCUGCCCUUGCUCACUCUUGGGCAUAGGCCAAGCUAGCCAUGGGAGGAAUUUAGUUUAUAGUUUAACUUUGAAGCACGGAUGAUAAUAGUCUCUCCCUAAAAUGAACCCCUUCCUUGCUCAGGGACUGAAACUACCUUUGUAUGACAAAUGAAAGCCCACAAGAUUAAGAUUAUGAGAGGGGCCUGAAUUCUGCUAAAAUGCAGGUGUAGCUGACUGAUAACAAGUCAUUGUCCCACAGCUUGCCUUUCUAUAAUCUCUUGCUUCUCAGGAGUCACAUGGCCAGAGGUCCUGAGAUUUCCAGUCCUGUGACCCCCACCCAGAGAUGGACUUAGUGCAUGAGGACCAUUUUCCACACCCCUAUGAUUU